rnacentral:ncRNA from 2 species
ACUCUGGAAUACAAACUUGUUCAUCCUCGUAAAAAGGAAGGGAAUCCGGUUUAAGUCCGGAGCUGAACCCGCAGCUGUAAUCGCCAACCAAGGUUUCGCAAAAAUACCACUGCUUUAAACGCGGGAAGGGCGCGAAGUCGGCGAGAGCCAGAAGACCUAACAAGUGAAACAAACUGAU